AUCCUUUAAAUAUAACGCAUUACUAAUAAAUUUCUUAGAAUAUUUUAAGCUUUUUUUGUUGCUUCAAGUUACUGGGUGGUUCUCUUAAGAACAGAAAACGCUCCAAUUAUAUGAUGUCACUGAGCGAAUAUCUCGAACUCAACCUGCUGUGCCACCCAGUAAACGAGAUCGAGAAACGAGAUAUCUGCCAAACUGCUCCAACUUCUGUAACUUCUGGGAAGCUCAUCGCUUUGCUCUGUCCCGCUCCUGCAGGUAACGGUCAGGUGACAAGCGUAACGAGACGAGCGGCAGAGAGUACUAGAAGCAGCAGGCCAAAGGCAAUAACCGGCCAGGAUCCUUGGACAUUUUAUGAAAAAGUGCACUCCACGCGAAGCCCCAUCCAAGUUGAAAGCAUAAAUCAAUAGCUGCACAGAGAGAAAAGGUUUUAAGAUUUCAGAUUGAAUUUAAUUGGAAAAGUUAAUAUCACUUAAGAGUUGCUCCAAUUUUCGCUCUCUGUGUCAGCUGUAGAAGGCUUGAAUAACACACAGAUACACCGGGCUAGCACAGAAGCCGAGAGCGAGAAAUGCCGGACAGGCCAUAAAUGAGUAAUUGCUGACAAUGCUGGCGGACCUUGUCCAGUAGCCUUGGCUUGGGCCUUCUUGGCCGCCGUCUAUGAUGGGUUCCAGUGCCAUUUUUAGCCAGGACAACAGGCCAUAAAUGUGAGCCUAGACAAAACAGAACCCAAAAAGAGCCGGGAACUAAAGGAGUUUAAAUAUCGAAUAGGAAAUACUGUAGGGAAACUUAUAGAACAGAUGAUUCUCCCAAUAAAACUUUUGACUGACAUAGUUACAAACCUA